rnacentral:rRNA from 1 species
UACGGAGGGUGCGAGCGUUAUCCGGAUUCACUGGGUUUAAAGGGUGCGUAGGUGGGAAUGUAAGUCAGUGGUGAAAUCUCUGAGCUUAACUCAGAAACUGCCAUUGAUACUAUGUUUCUUGAAUUUUCUGGAGGUCAGCGGAAUAUGUCAUGUAGCGGUGAAAUGCUUAGAUAUGACAUAGAACACCAAUUGCGAAGGCAGCUGGCUACAGGGGUAUUGACACUGAGGCACGAAAGCGUGGGGAUCAAACAGG